CAUCUCCUGACAAUCCUAGAGAUAGGACGUUCCCCUUCGGGGGACAGGAUGACAGGUUGGUGCAUGGUUUGUCGUCAGCUCGUGUCGUGAGAUGUUGGGUUAAGUCCCGCAACGAGCGCAACCCUUGAUCUUAGUUGCCAGCAUUUAGUUGGGCACUCUAAGGUGACUGCCGGUGACAAACCGGAGGAAGGUGGGGAUGACGUCAAAUCAUCAUGCCCCUUAUGACCUGGGCUACACACGUGCUACAAUGGAUGGUACAAAGGGCAGCAAAACCGCGAGGUCGAGCCAAUCCCAUAAAACCAUUCUCAGUUCGGAUUGUAGGCUGCAACUCGCCUACAUGAAGCUGGAAUCGCUAGUAAUCGCGGAUCAGCAUGCCGCGGUGAAUACGUUCCCGGGCCUUGUACACACCGCCCGUCACACCACGAGAGUUUGUAACACCCGAAGUCGGUGGGGUAACCCUUCUGGGAGCCAGCCGCCUAAGGUGGGAUAGAUGAUUGGGGUGAAGUCGUAACAAGGUAGGCGUAGCGAG
rnacentral:rRNA from 1 species